rnacentral:rRNA from 1 species
GGUUAAGCGACUAAGCGUACACGGUGGAUGCCCUGGCAGUCAGAGGCGAUGAAGGACGUGCUAAUCUGCGAAAAGCGUCGGUAAGGUGAUAUGAACCGUUAUAACCGGCGAUGUCCGAAUGGGGAAACCCAGUGCAAUUCGUUGCACUAUCGUUAACUGAAUACAUAGGUUAACGAGGCGAACCGGGGGAACUGAAACAUCUAAGUACCCCGAGGAAAAGAAAUCAACCGAGAUUCCCCCAGUAGCGGCGAGCGAACGGGGAGCAGCCCAGAGUCUGAAUCAGCUUGUGUGUUAGUGGAACGGUCUGGAAAGUCCGACGGUACAGGGUGAUAGUCCCGUACACCAAAAUGCACAGGUUGUGAACUCGAAGAGUAGGGCGGGACACGUGGUAUCCUGUCUGAAUAUGGGGGGACCAUCCUCCAAGGCUAAAUACUCCUGACUGACCGAUAGUGAACCAGUACCGUGAGGGAAAGGCGAAAAGAACCCCGGCGAGGGGAGUGAAAAAGAACCUGAAACCGUGUACGUACAAGCAGUGGGAGCACCUUCGGGUGUGACUGCGUACCUUUUGUAUAAUGGGUCAGCGACUUAUAUUCUGUAGCAAGGUUAACCGUAUAGGGGAGCCGCAGGGAAACCGAGUCUUAACUGGGCGUUAAGUUGCAGGGUAUAGACCCGAAACCCGGUGAUCUAGCCAUGGGCAGGUUGAAGGUUGGGUAACACUAACUGGAGGACCGAACCGACUAAUGUUGAAAAAUUAGCGGAUGACUUGUGGCUGGGGGUGAAAGGCCAAUCAAACCGGGAGAUAGCUGGUUCUCCCCGAAAGCUAUUUAGGUAGCGCCUCGUGAACUCAUCUUCGGGGGUAGAGCACUGUUUCGGCUAGGGGGUCAUCCCGACUUACCAACCCGAUGCAAACUACGAAUACCGAAGAAUGUUAUCACGGGAGACACACGGCGGGUGCUAACGUCCGUCGUGAAGAGGGAAACAACCCAGACCGCCAGCUAAGGUCCCAAAGUCAUGGUUAAGUGGGAAACGAUGUGGGAAGGCACAGACAGCCAGGAUGUUGGCUUAGAAGCAGCCAUCAUUUAAAGAAAGCGUAAUAGCUCACUGGUCGAGUCGGCCUGCGCGGAAGAUGUAACGGGGCUAAACCAUGCACCGAAGCUGCGGCAGCGACACUAUGUGUUGUUGGGUAGGGGAGCGUUCUGUAAGCCUGCGAAGGUGACCUGUGAGGGUUGCUGGAGGUAUCAGAAGUGCGAAUGCUGACAUAAGUAACGAUAAAGCGGGUGAAAUGCCCGCUCGCCGGAAGACCAAGGGUUCCUGUCCAACGUUAAUCGGGGCAGGGUGAGUCGACCCCUAAGGCGAGGCCGAAAGGCGUAGUCGAUGGGAAACAGGUUAAUAUUCCUGUACUUGGUGUUACUGCGAAGGGGGGACGGAGAAGGCUAUGUUAGCCGGGCGACGGUUGUCCCGGUUUAAGCAUGUAGGCUGGUUGUCCAGGCAAAUCCGGAUAAUCAAGGCUGAGGUGUGAUGACGAGGCACUACGGUGCUGAAGUAACAAAUGCCCUGCUUCCAGGAAAAGCCUCUAAGCAUCAGGUAACAUUAAAUCGUACCCCAAACCGACACAGGUGGUCAGGUAGAGAAUACCAAGGCGCUUGAGAGAACUCGGGUGAAGGAACUAGGCAAAAUGGUGCCGUAACUUCGGGAGAAGGCACGCUGGUGUGUAGGUGAAGUCCCUGCGGAUGGAGCUGAGACCAGUCGAAGAUACCAGCUGGCUGCAACUGUUUAUUAAAAACACAGCACUGUGCAAACACGAAAGUGGACGUAUACGGUGUGACGCCUGCCCGGUGCCGGAAGGUUAAUUGAUGGGGUUAUCCGUAAGGAGAAGCUCUUGAUCGAAGCCCCGGUAAACGGCGGCCGUAACUAUAACGGUCCUAAGGUAGCGAAAUUCCUUGUCGGGUAAGUUCCGACCUGCACGAAUGGCGUAAUGAUGGCCAGGCUGUCUCCACCCGAGACUCAGUGAAAUUGAACUCGCUGUGAAGAUGCAGUGUACCCGCGGCAAGACGGAAAGACCCCGUGAACCUUUACUAUAGCUUGACACUGAACAUUGAGCCUUGAUGUGUAGGAUAGGUGGGAGGCUUUGAAGCGUGGACGCCAGUCUGCGUGGAGCCAACCUUGAAAUACCACCCUUUAAUGUUUGAUGUUCUAACGUUGGCCCCUGACCGGGGUUGCGGACAGUGUCUGGUGGGUAGUUUGACUGGGGCGGUCUCCUCCCAAAGCGUAACGGAGGAGCACGAAGGUUAGCUAAUCCUGGUCGGACAUCAGGAGGUUAGUGCAAUGGCAUAAGCUAGCUUGACUGCGAGCGUGACGGCGCGAGCAGGUGCGAAAGCAGGUCAUAGUGAUCCGGUGGUUCUGAAUGGAAGGGCCAUCGCUCAACGGAUAAAAGGUACUCCGGGGAUAACAGGCUGAUACCGCCCAAGAGUUCAUAUCGACGGCGGUGUUUGGCACCUCGAUGUCGGCUCAUCACAUCCUGGGGCUGAAGUAGGUCCCAAGGGUAUGGCUGUUCGCCAUUUAAAGUGGUACGCGAGCUGGGUUUAGAACGUCGUGAGACAGUUCGGUCCCUAUCUGCCGUGGGCGCUGGAGAAUUGAGGGGGGCUGCUCCUAGUACGAGAGGACCGGAGUGGACGCAUCACUGGUGUUCGGGUUGUCAUGCCAAUGGCACUGCCCGGUAGCUAAAUGCGGAAGAGAUAAGUGCUGAAAGCAUCUAAGCACGAAACUUGCCCCGAGAUGAGUUCUCCCUGAGACUUUAAGUCUCCUGAAGGAACGUUGAAGACGACGACGUUGAUAGGCCGGGUGUGUAAGCGCAGCGAUGCGUUGAGCUAACCGGUACUAAUGAACCGUGAGGCUUAACCUU